GAUGAACGCUGGCGGCGUGCCUAAUACAUGCAAGUCGAGCGAACAGAUGAGGAGCUUGCUCCUCUGACGUUAGCGGCGGACGGGUGAGUAACACGUGGAUAACCUACCUAUAAGACUGGGAUAACUUCGGGAAACCGGAGCUAAUACCGGAUAAUAUAUUGAACCGCAUGGUUCAAUAGUGAAAGACGGUUUUGCUGUCACUUAUAGAUGGAUCCGCGCCGCAUUAGCUAGUUGGUAAGGUAACGGCUUACCAAGGCAACGAUGCGUAGCCGACCUGAGAGGGUGAUCGGCCACACUGGAACUGAGACACGGUCCAGACUCCUACGGGAGGCAGCAGUAGGGAAUCUUCCGCAAUGGGCGAAAGCUUGACGGAGCAACGCCGCGUGAGUGAUGAAGGUCUUCGGAUCGUAAAACUCUGUUAUUAGGGAAGAACAAAUGUGUGAGUAACUAUGCACGUCUUGACGGUACCUAAUCAAAAAGCCCCGGCUAACUACGUG
rnacentral:rRNA from 1 species